UACGAUCACAUCAUGAUGAAGCAGUAAUUCCCUUACGAUCACCGAAGUUAAGCAAUGUUGAGCCUGGUCCGUACUUAAAUGGGUGACCGCAUAAGAAUAACAG